rnacentral:lncRNA from 1 species
UCAAGAACACCUUAAGUUUUGUCUUAAAAACAGCUAAUCAAAGUAAGUUAUUGGAUAAAGAUUGUUAAAUGACAUAUGCCCUAUCCAAGAAGAUUAUGGUGGUUGUGUAAGUCUUAAAGGCCAAAAUUUUAUUAUAAAUUAUUACUUGUAUCGAAUUAUCUAUUAAUAAUAAGGUCUUUUUUUAAGUUGCUUAUAUUUUUCAAUGUAGUAAAGUCCAUGUAAUAGAUC